CAUGCCCUGAAUUCUAACCAAUAUUAUUUCAUCUGUAAUUGUAUGAUCAAUAAAAUUUUCCAUGAGUUUCCUUCCAAGACAUGGCUAUAAAUUGAGAUGUGUAGAGAGACAGACAGUCAGAGGGAA